rnacentral:rRNA from 1 species
CCCCUAGAUGUUCUGGGCCGCACGCGCGCUACACUGAACAGUUCAACAAGUCUUAACCUUGGCCGAUAGGUCUGGGUAAUCUUUGAACGCUGUUCGUGAUUGGGAUAGACCUUUGCAAUUAUGGGUCUUCAACGAGGAAUUCCUAGUAAACGCAAGUCAUCAGCUUUCAUUGAUUACGUCCCUGCCCUUUGUACACACCGCCCGUCGCACCUACCGAUUGAAUGGUCCGGUGAAAUCUCGGGACGGCGGCUUGGUCGCUUGCGUCCGACUGCUGAAACUUGAUUAAACCAUAUCAUUUAGAGGAAGGUGAAGUCGUAACA